rnacentral:rRNA from 1 species
CGUGUAGGCGGUUUUAUAAGUCUGAUGUGAAAGCCCUGGGCUCAACCUGGGAAGUGCAUUGGAUACUGUAGGACUUGAAUACGGGAGAGGGCAGUGGAAUUCCUGGUGUAGGAGUGAAAUCCGUAGAUAUCAGGAGGAACACCGGUGGCGAAGGCGGCUGCCUGGACCGAUAUUGACGCUGAGACGCGAAAGCGUGGGUAGCAAACA